GAGAGAACUGCCUAACAGGCCAGUGAACACACAACCUGAAAAUUUUAUCAACAGAAAAGAAAAACAGCAAGACCAACGGGUGGAGCGACAAAGCGCGGCCCAACUGUGUUCAAAACACGGUGUGACAGAUCGUAUUUGCAGCGCCAAGACAACAGGCAGAUAAGGGCAGAACAGACACAGGACGCCUUGUGACCACGGAAGCCCAACGCCCGUGUCAUGCAGCUGACUGAUUAAGAUUGACGCUGACAAGCAAAUGACAGGCUGGACAUCUGCCAGCCCACGUCUGCACCACUAAAUCCCGCAACCAGCUCUUCUGGACAGUCCAGAACAAAUGGCGGGAACUCUUUUCAAGCCACAAGGAACAUCUGAUACUGAGGAACCCACGACCGAGAAGUACUCACAUUGCGCUGAGGAUGGCAAAAUCCUUAAUUCUUGUUGCCUUGACAACAGUAACGCCCUAAUUCUCCUGUCCAACAGACAAUAAUACUACACAACGCCAAAAGACACCCUUCUUCCAGACCAUAGCACGCCUCACCAGAGCCUUUCAAAGACUGAAUGUUUAACUAAUCGUUCUAAUUUUUGUUGGGAAUCUUUUGUUGACUUGUGAUACGGUGACCCUGGAUCCAGUUUACCUCCUCGCCUGGGUUUCUCUGUGCUGCAUGACUGCUGCCGACAUG